rnacentral:lncRNA from 1 species
UUGGAUGAUAUUAUUUUAACAACAGGUGUCCCACAAACUGGUGCAUACUGUAGCUUUCGCAGUCCUUUAUAUCCUGAAACAUUUUCUUACCAGCUGCGUUGUAUAGCAUUUGUCAAAAAGUGAUGAUGCCGCCUUCAUUGCAUAAUCGUGGCCGUAAAUGCGCACAGCGUACCAGGAAAUGAACCUUGCCGGCGCAUCACAGGGGGGUAGGAUGAUGUGGAUGUAGCUGGUUAUAUAAAACUAUAGGGCACAGUUGGAAUGAGCCAGAUGGGAUGAUAGUUGUCAUUUUAAGAGUAACGAGCUUGUUGUCGGCUUUGGGAGAUGUCGCUACUGCAUGACCUUGUGAACUUGUCUGCUGCGUGACCUCAAAAAAUGGCUCCCCGAGCACCCCUUCACAUCCCUGGGUUUAUUUGCACAGGCAGUUGCCCAAGCAGGAAGUGACAUCAACGGGUCCAAAGUAAAAAUAUGUCGCAGGACGGGCUGUCUAGGAUGUCCAGGACCGGUGUUUGUAAGAGAGGAUGCCUCGCACCGGCUCCACAGAGAGUGAUGCUUACUGAGGGAUGCAGGAGAGCGCCACACAGGCGAGACAGACACCGGAGGCUGAGCUCUGUAUCAUGGCCGUCUGCUUAAAGGGAUGCUGUCUGCUAUCCAGUUAUGGCUGAGGAAUGUGUCUGCAAGUGUGUGUGCACAUUUGGAAGCCUGCUUUAAAAGAUGCAUGCAUGGAGGGUGAAGAUUAUUUUUGUUUCACAGAAGGCACAUUAUAGCAGACCCAGACCAGGUCUGUUCAUCUCACACAGUAAGCCCUAGUCUUUAAGGAAAUAGACUCCAGUCAGUGUUCUUGGUUACUAGUAACUGGCAAUGUUGACCGUCAGUCCUAAUCAUAUUUGAAGCAUAUAACAAAUAUAAAAGAAAAAGUAAAGCAAAGUCAAGUUGGGUUAAAAAAAUCACAUAAAAUAAUCCUGAUUUAAACCCUUUUACAAAAAGCAGAAUUCCCCCCUGAACAACAUAUUGCC